UACGAAGGGGGGCUAGCGUUGCUCGGAAUGACUGGGCGUAAAGGGCGCGUAGGCGGCGAUCAAGGUCAGAUGUGAAAUUCCUGGGCUUAACCUGGGGGCUGCAUUUGAUACGUGGUGGCUUGAGUGCGGAAGAGGGUCGUGGAAUUCCCAGUGUAGAGGUGAAAUUCGUAGAUAUUGGGAAGAACACCGGUGGCGAAGGCGGCGCUCUGGACCGAGACUGACGCUGAGGCGCGAAAGCCAGGGGAGCGAACGGG
rnacentral:rRNA from 1 species